rnacentral:lncRNA from 1 species
UUAAUUGGUUCAUGUAUAGUCAAUCUUAAUAGUUGUUUUGAGUAGAUUUUUGUGGCUCAUAGAGUUCAACAAGAAAAUGCCCCUUUUCAGUGGUCGUGGAUAUUUUGUGUGUGUAAUGGGAGACGUUUUGUAGGCAUUUGCGUAGACUACAUUCUUAGGGAGAGGAAAAGGAGAUAAAGUGUACAUAAUACCAGAGCUUAUGAAGGGGAGGAACAUAAGACGUACAAAAGGAGAAAGAGAGUGUUGAGCGAACUCUUUUGACAAUAGGGACACCAGUUCCUUAGGAGGAUUCGCCGAACUUCGCUACAGGUGGAAUAACGUUGUGUUAUGUCAAGCGGAUGGGUAAAGACAAUUCCAGUUUUAGUGGACAAGUGCUGUGGUCACACCUAUUAAUUUAUAAUAGAUUGUAUUCUAUAUCACUUGCUAUAUUAGUUCGUAUUUGAUUCUAACGUGGUUAGUACUAACCUUUCUUAUGAG